GGGGGAUUCAGAGCUCCACACUGUAGGAUGUAGAACUUACUUCUUUCCCAUUUACACCGCAGACACCAUGUGAGGACAAGAGGCAUCGGACGGAACGCUUGGAGACCCCCGGACGAGAGCAUGUCCCUGGACUCCAUCACCAAGGUCACCCCUGCAUCCUGGAGUGGCUCCCUCCAGCUGAGGGUAACCCCACAUCAACUAACACACCC
rnacentral:lncRNA from 1 species